rnacentral:rRNA from 1 species
GGGUGAGUAACACGUGGGCGACCUGCCUUCGAGUGGGGAAUAACGCUGGGAAACCAGCGCUAAUACCGCAUACGCUCCGGCUUUCAUUGGCCGGAGGAAAGCUUAAUGUGCUCGAAGAGGGGCCUGCGGCGGAUUAGCUAGUCGGGGGGGUAAUGGCCCACCGAGGCGACGAUCCGUAGCUGGUCUGAGAGGAUGGCCAGCCACACUGGGACUGAGACACGGCCCAGACUCCUACGGGAGGCAGCAGUAAGGGAUCUUCCACAAUGGGCGCAAGCCUGAUGGAGCGACGCCGCGUGGAUGACGAAGCUCUUCGGAGUGUAAAAUCCUUUUGCGGGGGGUGAGAGGGACAGUACCCCGCGAAGAAGCCACGGCUAACUACGUGCCAGCAGCCGCGGUAAUACGUAGGUGGCAAGCGUUGUCCGGAAUUACUGGGUGUAAAGCGCGUGUAGGCGGCAGGCCAAGUCUGCGGUGAAAGCGCCCGGCUCAACUGGGCGAGGUCCGUG